rnacentral:rRNA from 1 species
GACUAACGCUGGCGGCGUGCCUAACACAUGCAAGUCGAACGAAGCAGCAAUGCUUAGUGGCAGACGGGUGAGUAACGCGUAGAUAAUGUGCCCUCUUGCGGGGGAUACCGUUUCGAAAGGAACGUUAAUACCGCAUAAAGUCCUUAGAAGGCAUCUUUUAGGGACCAAACUUCCGGGGCGGGAGGAGCAAUCUGCGUACUAUCAGCUAGUUGGUGAGGUAAUGGCUCACCAAGGCUACGACGGUUAACUGGUCUGAGAGGAUGAUCAGUCACACUGGAACUGAGACACGGUCCAGACUCCUACGGGAGGCAGCAGUGAGGAAUAUUGCACAAUGGGCGAAAGCCUGAUGCAGCGACGCCGCGUGGAGGAUGAAGGAUUUCGGUCUGUAAACUCCUGUCAGUAGGGAAGAGAAUGGACGGUACCUACUGAGGAAGCUUCGGCUAACUACGUG